GUAGUUACUGGUGAAAAUAAAGAAGAGUCUUAGGAGUGAAGCAUGGGGAAACAGUUAUGGAUAAUAAUGGAUAUGCUGAAAUAAUGGAAUUCUAGAAGAACUAAUUUCCUGGGAGAAGGACAACAUCUGAUUGAGGAGGCACGAGUGUGGAUUUAGAUUUAGAAGAGCUCUUUGAAGAGGGGAGAAAUCACCAUGGAGAAGGGCCCACCGUCCUCACCAUCUCCAGCAACAGCUGCUGACCAACUGCCAGCAACAUACAAGAGGCCUGGGAGUGACACUACCCAGCAGACCACCAGUUCUGCUUCCAGCUCAUCUCUCACAAUCAUCAUUAAGAAAGCAACUCAUGUGGAGAAGAAGCCAGCCAUCCUUCUCUAAAUGUCACCCACAAGGCAGGGCAUGUCCACCUAAUUGAAGCACUGACACUCAGGUGUGGAGGGCAUAGGGAGAAACAUGAGGCAACAUAUGUCAGUAAAGUCAGACCACACACCACAAUCACCACUCUGAAGACCAUCUCCCCUUAAACUCCUAUGGAGGACCCCAAACCCAAGAGUCUUGAGAAUAUCAGUGCUUCCAUCCCAGUGCCUGUAGACAUCAUCCUGGGAAAC